UACGUAGGUGGCAAGCGUUGUCCGGAAUUAUUGGGCGUAAAGCGCGCGCAGGCGGUCCUUUAAGUCUGAUGUGAAAGCCCACGGCUCAACCGUGGAGGGUCAUUGGAAACUGGGGGACUUGAGUACAGAAGAGGAAAGCGGAACUCCACGUGUAGCGGUGAAAUGCGUAGAGAUGUGGAGGAACACCAGUGGCGAAGGCGGCUUUCUGGUCUGUAACUGACGCUGAGGCGCGAAAGCGUGGGGAGCAAACAGG
rnacentral:rRNA from 1 species